rnacentral:lncRNA from 1 species
GCACCUUCUUUUGGCUCACCACAACUUAGCAGAUUACGAAAAGAAAUUGCAUACUCCGAGAGUAGGCUGCAGAACUGCUGCAUCAUGGAAAAGCAUCUUUAGCUGGUACAAAAUAUAGCUGCAAUCACAAUGCUGUAUCUGCAAAGCUGACUCUAGAUCAGCACGGUUUGAACUGGACGACAAGGAGCACUCUCCCUAGAAGCUGAACUGUAGAAAGAAUGGCAGAAGCUGUAUCGCUGCACAGGUGCCGCAUUCAUCACCACCCCACCAGACUCCAGCUACCACCAGAGCAUCUGAGCAAGGACUGGUCAGCCUCAGACCAGGUCUCCCCUGAAAUCUGGCAGAUCUCCUUCCAGAAUUUAUCCCUUUCAUCAACAUUGCAGAUGGAAGGUUGCACAGGAUGCACCACGGCUGGCUGAAAACGACAACAAAGAGCUCUGGACAAUCUACAAAUACAAUAGGAGAAGUGAAAAAACAGCUGAGGCAGCAGAUGUUGAAAAUUAUGACUGUCUCCUGAGGACCAGAAAUGCUCAGGGAGGACCUGAGAAAUCCUAGUCAGUCACUGAGCAAGACACAACUCUAUUAAACAUAUUUCUGCUUGUGGAUAUAGUCAUAUGGGAUAAAGGACCAUAAUACAGAGAUCUUUGACCCGGUGGAGACCUGAGAAAGUCCGUGUGAUUCUGCACAGUGUUACAUGGUUUUACCUAGCUGGGCUUUCAAGCAGUCCAGCAUUGUUUGCUGUGAAUGGUGUCUCAACUAAUGAAUACUCUCUCCGGACAAGGAUGCAAUACCACACAAAUGAAGCAAAAUAUCUGUGCCAUGCUUUUCAUUUUCCCACCCUUCUGUUUCAGAUUAGUAUGUGGAAUUAACUGUUCUUUAUAUAAACCCAACAACACUUUAUGCUGCAGAGCAUUAAGAAGGCUACGGUGCUUAGCAUGAUACUUCUUUAUGAACGUAAUUCCACAUUUCUUCCUAUAGCAAUCUGUGGACAAUCCUAUAUCUUUGGACAAGGGCUAAUGAUUUUAAAAC